rnacentral:rRNA from 1 species
AUGGAUCACGACCUAAAAAUUGUGAUUUGGAAUGUGCGCUGGCUUAACGCACGCGCGCGACGCACUGCCGUCCGCUCGCUAAUUGUUACUAGUGGCGCCUCCAUUGUAUGUUUGCAAGAGACUAAGAUGGCUUUGAUCUGCUCGUCGGUUGUCCUUGAGGCGCUCGGCUCCGAGUUCGACGAGUACGUGUACUUGUCGGUGGAUGACACCCGCGGUGGCAUCCUGCUGGCGUGGAAAAGUCGGGUGGUGACCAUCACUAACCCUGAGUUCACCACGCACACGUUGUCGGCCCAGGUCACUCCCCCCUCAAGCCAGCACCCGCCUUGGUGGUUGCCCAUCGUGUAUGGGCCUCAACUGGAUGACGAGAAGAUCGAGUUCCUUCGUGAACUCCAUGACCUACGCGCCUCUUGCCCAGGGCCAUGGAUGCUUUGCGGUGACUUCAACUUGAUCUACCGCGACGAAGACAAAAACAACAACUUGGACAGACGCAUGAUGAGGCGGUUCAGACACUUGCUCAAUGACUUGGCGCUCAAGGAGGUCUACCUUAACGGGCGCCGUUACACAUGGUCUAACGAGCGCUCCCCUCCAACCCUGGUCCAC